GAUGAACGCUGGCGGCGUGCCUAAUACAUGCAAGUCGAGCGAACGGACGAGAAGCUUGCUUCUCUGAUGUUAGCGGCGGACGGGUGAGUAGCACGUGGAUAACCUACCUAUAAGACUGGGAUAACUUCGGGAAACCGGAGCUAAUACCGGAUAAUAUUUUGAACCGCAUGGUUCAAUAGUGAAAGACGGUCUUGCUGUCACUUAUAGAUGGAUCCGCGCUGCAUUAGCUAGUUGGUAAGGUAACGGCUUACCAAGGCAACGAUGCAUAGCCGACCUGAGAGGGUGAUCGGCCACACUGGAACUGAGACACGGUCCAGACUCCUACGGGAGGCAGCAGUAGGGAAUCUUCCGCAAUGGGCGAAAGCCUGACGGAGCAACGCCGCGUGAGUGAUGAAGGUCUUCGGAUCGUAAAACUCUGUUAUUAGGGAAGAACAAAUGUGUAAGUAACUGUGCACAUCUUGACGGUACCUAAUCAGAAAGCCACGGCUAACUACGUG
rnacentral:rRNA from 1 species